ACCUCUGUAGCUCAGUUGGCUAGAGCGCUGCUCCGGAAUCGCAGGGCCGUAGGUUCAAUUCCUACCAGAGGAC
rnacentral:tRNA from 1 species